GAGGAGGGAGAAUACUUUGGGGUAUUCUGGGAAUGACUUCCCACGAAAAGAAGAAAUAAAAUGAUAAGAGGCGAGUUUGAUUCGGCUCGUGCUGGGAGUAGUCUGAGAAGGGAGUAGGGAGGGAAAAGAGAGAGGAGCCAGUCACAAUGAAGGACCUCUGCGCUGCUGCUGUCUCCCACGACUCCAUGGAAGGCUGAGCUCUUCACUAGGGCUGGAUGCAGCCCUAACAAAGGGCCUAGGAUUUUGUAUUUUUGAUUUCUAUUCUUGGAGUUGUAUAAACUUUAUUU
rnacentral:lncRNA from 1 species